UACGUAGGUGGCAAGCGUUAUCCGGAAUUACUGGGCGUAAAGCGCACGCAGGCGGUCUUUUAAGUUUGACGUGAAAGCUCCCGGCUUAACUGGGAGAGGUCGUUGAAUACUGGAAGACUUGAGGCAAUGAGAGGGGUGUAGAAUUCCCGGUGUAGUGGUGGAAUGCGUAGAUAUCGGGGGGAAUACCAGUGGCGAAAGCGGCACCCUAGCGUUAGCCUGACGCUCAUGUGCGAAAGCCAGGGGAGCAAACGGG
rnacentral:rRNA from 1 species